rnacentral:rRNA from 1 species
AGCGAACGCUGGCGGCAGGCCUAACACAUGCAAGUCGAACGAACUCUUCGGAGUUAGUGGCGGACGGGUGAGUAACACGUGGGAACGUGCCUUUUGGUUCGGAAUAACUCAGGGAAACUUGUGCUAAUACCGAAUGUGCCCUUCGGGGGCAAGAUUUAUCGCCAUUAGAGCGGCCCGCGUCUGAUUAGCUAGUUGGUGAGGUAACGGCUCACCAAGGCGACGAUCAGUAGCUGGUCUGAGAGGAUGACCAGCCACACUGGGACUGAGACACGGCCCAGACUCCUACGGGAGGCAGCAGUGGGGAAUCUUGCGCAAUGGGCGAAAGCCUGACGCAGCCAGGCCGCGUGAAUGAUGAAGGUCUUAGGAUUGUAAAAUUCUUUCACCGGGGACGAUAAUGACGGUACCCGGAGAAGAAGCCCCGGCUAACUUCGUG